UACGUAGGGGGCAAGCGUUGUCCGGAAUCAUUGGGCGUAAAGAGCGCGUAGGCGGCCAGAUAAGUCCGGUGUGAAAGUCACAGGCUCAACCUGUGAAUGCCGCUGGAAACUGUCUGGCUAGAGUCCGGGAGGGGCGAGUGGAAUUCCUGGUGUAGCGGUGAAAUGCGCAGAUAUCAGGAGGAACACCAAUGGCGAAGGCAGCUCGCUGGAACGGUACUGACGCUGAGGCGCGAAAGCGUGGGGAGCAAACAGGG
rnacentral:rRNA from 1 species